ACAGAAAUUUUACACAUUUUUAUUUAGAAUAAUUACCUAUAUACCCUUUAGAACUUUUGAAAUAUCUUAUUUAUCGCUAUUUUUUUUUCUUUUCAAUAUAUCUCUCAUAUAUUCCUUCAUUAUUCCAAAAUACCUCUACAGUUACCAUCCGUUAAGUUAAUUUGAGUUAAACGUAAGUUAAAUAUUUACUAGAGUUAAAAAAAAAAAAU
rnacentral:lncRNA from 1 species